AUUGAACGCUGGCGGCAUGCCUUACACAUGCAAGUCGAAAGGUAACAGGUCUUCGGUCCGGUGGCGAGUGGCGAACGGGUGAGUAAUACAUCGGAACGUACCGCGGAGUGGGGGACAACAAGCCGAAAGAUUCGCUAAUACCGCAUACACUCUGAGGAGAAAAGCGGGGGACCUUCGAGCCUUGUUCUAUGCGAGCGCCCGAUGGCUGAUUAGCUAGUUGGUGGGGUAAAGGCCUACCAAGGCAACGAUCAGUCGCGGGUCUAAGAGGACGAUCCGCCACACUGGAACGGAGACGCGGUCCAGACUCCGACGGGAGGCAGCAGUGGGGAAUCUGGGACAAUGGGCGCUAGCCUGAUCCAGCAAGACCGCGUGCGUGAAGAAGGCCUUCGUGUUGUAAAGCGCUUUUGUCAGGGAGCAAAGACUGAUGGCUAAUAUCCAUCGGAGUUGAGAGUACCUGAAGAAUAAGGACCGGCUAACUACGUGCCAGCAGCCGCCGUAACAC
rnacentral:rRNA from 1 species